AUGCUGGAUGCGCGCGCUCCUUGGGCGCAACUGCCCAGCGCAAAACGGGCCCCGAAAGCAGGUGAGUGGAGGACACUUCAAUCUAAAGUGAUCUUAAAGGAGGAGUAGUAGGAUUUGAAGAUGAAGAAAGAAGAGGGGAGGUAAAUUACUUUCCAUCACUUCAAUUUCAACCCAUCAGAUAAAACCUCUCUUUAGUAAACCUGCAUGUGGGUGGAGCUGUAACAGCAAUUAAGGACAGUGUGACUCUGUUCUUCUGACUUUGGGAAAACCAGUUUGGCUGGAACAAAAAGCUGAUAGAGAAGACUAAUGGAAGAUAAGGUUGAAAAGGUUAAAAAAUGGAGGCAACAGCUGGGUACAGUGGCUCACUCCUGUAAUUCCAGCACUUUAGGAGGCCAAGGUAGGCAGAUCACUUGAGAAAAAGAGUUCGAGACCAGCCUGGGCAACAUAGUGAGACCCUCUCUCUCAAAAAAAAUAGCCAAGUGUGAUGAUGGACACCUGUAACCCCAACUACUUCAGAGACUGAGGCAGGAGGAUCACUUGAGCCUAGGAGGUCAAGGCUGCAGUGAGCUGUGAUUGGGCCACUGCACUCCAGCCUGGGUGACACAGAGAGACCUCUCUAAAAAAUAAAAAAAUAAAAAAAAUGGAAGCACAGAAAACUAUACCUUUUCUAGCUCAACUUUACCACAUUGAUGAAAAAGUAUUGAGCAGCCACAGGUACAUGACAUUCCACUAUGUUCUUGGGAUAAUAUUAAAGAAAAGGCAUGAAGGUAUGCUCUGAGCAGGCAAGAGAAGUCACAUAAAAUGAGAGUAAUUUAUAAUGUGAUUUUUUC
rnacentral:lncRNA from 10 species